rnacentral:lncRNA from 1 species
CGUGAACCCGGGAGGCGGAGCUUGCAGUGAGCCGAGACUGUGCCACUGCACUCCAGCCUGGGCGACAGAGCGAAAUUCCGUCUCAAAAAAAAAAAAAAAAAAAAAAAGAUGGAGUCUCACUCUGUCGCCCAGUCUGGAGUGCAGUGCAGUGGCACUAUCUCAGCUCAUUGCAACCUCAGCCUCCCAGGUUCAAAUUGUCAGGCCUCUGAGCCCAAGCCAAGCCAUCGCAUCACCUGAGACUUGCAGGUAUACAUCCAGAUGGCCUGAAGUAACUGAAGAUCCACAAAAGAAGUAAAAAUAGCCUUAACUGAUGACAUUCCACCAUUGUGAUUUCUUCCUGCCCCACCUAACUGAUCAAUGUACUUUGUAAUCUCCCCCACCCUUAAGAAGGUUCUUUGUAAUUCUCCCCACCCUUGAGAAUGUACUGUGUGAGAUCCACCCCUGCCCGCAAAACAUUGUUCUUAACUUCACCGCCUAUCCCAAAACCUCUCAGAACUAAUGAUAAUCCACCACCCUUUGCUGACUCUCUUUUCGGACUCAGCCUGCCUGCAGCCAGGUGAAAUAAACAGCCAUGUUGCUCACACAAAGCCUGUUUGGUGGUCUCUUCACACGGACGCGCAUGAAAUUUGGUGCCGUGACUCGGAUCGGGGGACCGACCUCCCUUGGGAGAUCAAUCCCCCAUCCUCCUGCUCUUUGCUCUGUGAGAAAGAUCCACCUACGACCUCAGGUCCUCAGACAGACCAGCCCAAGAAACAACUCACCAAUUUCAAAUCCGAAGGCAGAAAUGUCAGGCCUCUGAGCCCAAGCCAAGCCAUCGCAUCACCUGUGACUUGCACGUAUACAUCCAGAUGGCCUGAAGUAACUGAAGAUCCACAAAAGAAGUAAAAAUAGCCUUAACUGAUGACAUUCCACCAUUGUGAUUUGUUCCUGCCCCACCUAACUGAUCAAUGUACUUUGUAAUCUCCCCCACCCUUAAGAAGGUUCUUUGUAAUUCUCCCCACCCUUGAGAAUGUACUGUGUGAGAUCCACCCCUGCCCGCAAAACAUUGCUCUUAACUUCACCGCCUAUCCCAAAACCUCUAAGAACUAAUGAUAAUCCACCACCCUUUGCUGACUCUCUUUUCGGACUCAGCCUGCCUGCAGCCAGGUGAAAUAAACAGCCAUCUUGCUCACACAAAGCCUGUUUGGUGGUCUCUUCACAUGGACGCGCAUGAAACGAUUCUCCUGCCUCAGCCUCACAAGUAGCUGGGAUUACAGGUGCCUGCCACCAUGCCUAAUUUUUGUAUUUUUAGUAGAGAUGGGGUUUCACCAUGUUGGUCAGGCUGGUCUCGAACUCCUGAUCUCGUGAUCUGCCCGCCUCAGACUCCCAAAGUGGUGGGAUUACAGAUGUGAGCCACCGUGCCUGGCCCGGGCUUGGAUUUUAUGAAGAGGAAAAGUAGGGGAGCUAGCAAGGGGGUUACACUUGAGGAGGGAGUUCAAAUGGACUGCACUGCAUAGCCUGCAGGCUUGCAAUGAAUGUGAAGCUUUAAAUGGGAUUAAGUGCAAAUUGAAAAUAUUCCAGACACAUUUUUCACAUUCCUGGCUAGUGAAAAGGUUUAUGCUGAUGAGAGAAGGCAAAGCUGAAUCCCGGAAUGGGUUAGGGCAAAGAAAACAAAUCUGUCUUAAAGAGACAGACCUGGCCGGGCACGGUGGCUCACGCCUGUAAUCCCAGCACUUUUGGAGGCCGAGGCGGUUGGAUCACUUGAGGUCAGGAGUUCGAGACCAGCCUGGCCAACAUGGUGAAACCCUGUCUCUACUAAAGAUACAAAAAUUAGCUGGGCGUGGUGGCGCAUGCCUAUAAUCCCAGCUACUCAGGAGGCUGACGCAGGAGAAUCGCUUGAACCCGGGAGGUGGAGGUUGCAGUGAGCCGAGAUCGCACCACUGCACUCCAGCCUGGGCGACAGAGCAAGACUCGGUCUCGGGGCGGGGAAAAAAAAGGAAGGAGGGAAGGAAG